AAAGUGAAAGCAAAUAGGAGAGACAACACAUUCAAAGUGAAAUCCAAAGAUGGGGAAUACACAGAGUGUCCUUGAGAAGAAAGGAUACACUAUCCUGAGGAAGGCAGAGAAUGGUGUCAUAGCUACUGACAAAGAUGGUGACCAGUUUGUCAUUAAAGAGAUCAAACUGAAUGAGAUCAGUGCUGGAG